AUCCAACUGACGAGUUUCAAAAUAGGACGAAAUGCGCAUUCUGGAU
rnacentral:hammerhead_ribozyme from 1 species